rnacentral:rRNA from 1 species
UACGUAGGGUGCAAGCGUUGUCCGGAUUUAUUGGGCGUAAAGAGCUCGUAGGCGGUCUGUCGCGUCGAAUGUGAAAACCCGGGGCUCAACCCCGGGCCUGCAUUCGAUACGGGCAGACUAGAGUUCGGUAGGGGAGACUGGAAUUCCUGGUGUAGCGGUGAAAUGCGCAGAUAUCAGGAGGAACACCGGUGGCGAAGGCGGGUCUCUGGGCCGAUACUGACGCUGAGGAGCGAAAGCGUGGGGAGCGAACAGG